ACAAACUUAAUUAAACAGGGUUUGUUCUAUAGGCUCAUACCGUUGCAUCCUUUACCAAUAAAGAGGCAACCACUUCAAUCUGGUUGUUGCAUUCUGACCUCUGGGUCAGAGCAUGAUUAAGGGCUAGGAUUCCACCUAAUGGGUGCCAUCUGACGGCUGUAGUGGCUCACACUGGCACAGGGUGGCCUAGAGGUUAUCAUUUUUUUUGCGAAAUGGCCUAGAGGUUGUCUGAAAGACU
rnacentral:snoRNA from 1 species